UACGUAGGGUGCAAGCGUUAAUCGGAAUUACUGGGCGUAAAGCGUGCGCAGGCGGCUUUGCAAGACAGAUGUGAAAUCCCCGGGCUUAACCUGGGAACUGCAUUUGUGACUGCAUAGCUAGAGUACGGUAGAGGGGGAUGGAAUUCCGCGUGUAGCAGUGAAAUGCGUAGAUAUGCGGAGGAACACCGAUGGCGAAGGCAGCCCCCUGGGCUAACACUGACGCUCAUGCACGAAAGCGUGGGGAGCAAACAGG
rnacentral:rRNA from 1 species